UAUAAAGCUGUGAAGAGAAGAGUAAACUGCCUUACAUUUACAGAGAGAGAAUACAUUAGCUGAAAGUAUUCUUAAAUAGAAUCAGUUGAAAACUACCUCUGAGUGACUCUAAUAAUGUCCGGAUAAAUCCGUUAAAACUUUUAAAGUGGUAUAUCAUAAUCUUGAUAUACAAUUUGGGUGGAACCACGGGAAUAUUAUCUCGUCCCUUUU
rfam:Clostridium argentinense CDC 2741 T732.Contig252, whole genome shotgun sequence.